UCCGAAGUCAAGUUCCGGAAAGUGACGUUGCAAUCGUUAGGUGGAGAUAUGGUCUGUUCUGUGCUCAAAUUUGUCAUCCUCCUUAAAUGCAAAGGAGAUAGAAGCUGCAAAUACUUGUCAGAGUUUAGGGGUGAUUGGAUAGGAAUUUUAAGAAACCGUUAUUAUGUUUCAGACAGCAGUGGCCUCCCUCAUGAUGCGGGAAGGCAACGUGGGAGGGAAACCCUCGAGGGCCUGAUUCAGCUUGGCAAGUGUGAGAGGGCACCUGAUGAACUUCUUGUAGAAUUCCCUGGAGUGAGACUCAGGACAAUAUUAAAUCCAAUGAAUCAUGCAGCUUUCAGGAGGGCAGGGCGGCAUGCUGCAGAGCAGCACUGAAUGAUGGCUUGGCUUGGUGUCCCUGGUGGCAGCAGUGGCCACACAGUCACUGUGUUCUCAUUGAACAAAGACUCAGUUUUGACACGAGGACUGUGAACAUCUCCAGAACAGGAGACAUUUGGAAGAGCUCAUGCCCAUUGGUAUCUGAAACUUGGCUGCUCAUGUGAUCUUCAGAAAUACCUUGUAUCCUGCUGUGACCCUCACCAACACCAAUCACAUGGAAAAGAACCAACAAUGUGAAGAAACAUGAAUAUGGUAUUCAUUUGCAAACUGAAAAAGGAAAUAAUUGCAGCUACUAUUUACAGUAUCUGGCUUUUCAAGCUUCAUGCUACAUGCAGCUAACUCUUUAUCAAACAAUCAAUUUUGUUUAAAAUAAAUAAGUCUAUAUAUUUAA